rnacentral:rRNA from 1 species
AUCCAGCCAUGCCGCGUGCAGGAUGACGGCCCUAUGGGUUGUAAACUGCUUUUGUACGGGAAUAAACCCCUCUACGUGUAGAGGGCUGAAGGUACCGUAAGAAUAAGGACCGGCUAACUCCGUGCCAGCAGCCGCGGUAAUACGGAGGGUCCGAGCGUUAUCCGGAUUUAUUGGGUUUAAAGGGUCCGCAGGCGGGAUAUUAAGUCAGUGGUGAAAGCCUACAGCUUAACUGUAGCACUGCCAUUGAUACUGGUAUUCUUGAGUAUGGUUGAAGUGGGCGGAAUAUGUCAUGUAGCGGUGAAAUGCAUAGAUAUGACAUAGAACACCUAUUGCGAAGGCAGCUCACUAAGCCAUUACUGACGCUGAGGGACGAAGGCGUGGGUAGCAAACAGGAUUAGAUACCCUGGUAGUCCACGCAGUAAACGAUGAUCACUCGCUGUUGGCGAUAUACAGUCAGCGGCCAAGCGAAAGCAUUAAGUGAUCCACCUGGGGAGUACGAUCGCAAGAUUGAAACU